rnacentral:rRNA from 1 species
UCAAGCUAAUAAGAGCAUAAGGUGAAUGCCUUGGCAUCAAGAACCGAUGAAGGACGUAAAAAGCUGCGAUAAGCUUCGGGGAGGCGCACAUAGCCAACGAUCCGGAGAUUUCCGAAUGGGGAAACCUAGCUGAGAAAAGCUCAGUUGGCGUACAGUGAAUCAAUAGCUGUGCGUAGGGAACGCUCUGAACUGAAACAUCUAAGUAGGAGCAGGAAGAGAAAGAAACAUCGAUUUCCUAAGUAGUGGCGAACGAACGGGAAACAGGCCAAACCGAGAUACAUGUAUUUCGGGGUUGUGGACUACAUCAUGUGAUGGAGGUAAGGUAGUAGAAUUGUUUUGGGAAAGCAAGCCAAAGAAAGUGAAAGCCUUGUAUACGAAACCUGAAGACCCACAGUAGUAUCCAGAGUACAUCGGGACACGUGAAACCCUGAUGGAAGCCGGAGGGACCACCCUCCAAGCCUAAAUAUUCCUUGAUGACCGAUAGCGAAGAAGUACUGUGAAGGAAAGGUGAAAAGAACCCCGGGAGGGGAGUGAAAGAGAACCUGAAACCUUAUGUUUACAAACAGUCGAAGUUUUUCGGAACGACGGCGUACUUUUUGUAGAACGGUCCGGCGAGUUGCAGUGACAUGCGAGGUUAAGGAGUACAGCUCCGGAGCCGAAGGGAAACCAAGUCUUAACUGGGCGUCUAGUAUGUUAAUGCAGACCCGAAACCGGGUGACCUAUCCAUGGGCAGGUUGAAGUUACCGUAAAAGGUAAUGGAGGACCGAACUCACAUCUGUUGAAAAAGGUGGAGAUGACCUGUGGAUAGCGGAGAAAUUCCAAUCGAACUCGGAGAUAGCUGGUUCUCCUCGAAAUAGCUUUAGGGCUAGCCUUGAGGUAAAGUCUAAUGGAGGUAAAGCACUGAUUGGACGCGGGUCCCCAAAAGGAUACCAACUUCUAUCAAACUCAGAAUGCCAUAUAGAUAUACUCAGGAGUCAGACUAUGUGAGAUAAGUUUCAUAGUCAAAAGGGAAAGAGCCCAGACCGACAGCUAAGGUCCCAAAGUGUGUGUUAAGUGGAAAAGGAUGUUAGGUUUCUAAGACAACUAGGAUGUUGGCUCAGAAGCAGCCACUCAUUUAAAGAGUGCGUAACAGCUCACUAGUCGAGAGGUCUAGCGCCGAAAAUGUCCGGGGCUAAAACACACCACCGAAGCUACGGAAUUACCUAUGGUAAUUGGUAGAGGAGCAUUCUGUAAGGAUGAAGCACAAUUGAAAGAGAGUGUGGACGAAACAGAAGAGAGAAUGCCGGAAUGAGUAGCGAGAUAUAUGUGAGAAUCAUAUAGGUCGAAUGUCUAAGGUUUCCUGGGUAAAGCUGAUCUGCUCAGGGUAAGUCGGGACCUAAGGUGAGGGCGAGAGCCGUAAUCGAUGGACAACAGGUAGAAAUUCCUGUACUACGUAUAAUCAGAACUGUGGGGACGCAGGAGGAUAGGAAAACCGGAGAAUGGAAAAAUCCGGCUAAGUACAAAGGUGUGAGUGAUAGGCAAAUCCGUCACUAUUAGCUGAAGUACGAAUGGGAGCGAAGAAAAGUAGCGAAGUUUCUGAAUCCACACUGUCAAGAAAAGCCGCUAUUGCGUUAUACGUACCCGUACCGCAAACCGACACAGGUAGACGAGGAGAAAAUCCACAGACCGACGGGAGAAGUGUUGUUAAGGAACUCGGCAAAAUGACCCCGUAACUUAGGGAUAAGGGGAGCCAACGCAAGUUGGUCACAGAAAAGAGGCUCAAGCGACUGUUUAGCAAAAACAUAGGUCUAUGCGAAACCGUAAGGUGAUGUAUAUGGGCUGACACCUGCCCGGUGCUGGAAGGUCAAAAGGAGAGGUUAGCGUAAGCGAAGCUUUGAAUUCAAGCCCCAGUAAACGGCGGCCGUAACUAUAACGGUCCUAAGGUAGCGAAAUUCCUUGUCAGGUAAGUUCUGACCCGCACGAAAG